GAUGAACGCUGGCGGCGUGCCUAAUACAUGCAAGUCGAGCGAACAGAUGAGGAGCUUGCUCCUCUGACGUUAGCGGCGGACGGGUGAGUAACACGUGGAUAACCUACCUAUAAGACUGGGAUAACUUCGGGAAACCGGAGCUAAUACCGGAUAAUAUAUUGAACCGCAUGGAUCAAUAGUGAAAGACGGUUUUGCUGUCACUUAUAGAUGGAUCCGCGCCGCAUUAGCUAGUUGGUAAGGUAACGGCUUACCAAGGCAACGAUGCGUAGCCGACCUGAGAGGGUGAUCGGCCACACUGGAACUGAGACACGGUCCAGACUCCUACGGGAGGCAGCAGUAGGGAAUCUUCCGCAAUGGGCGAAAGCCUGACGGAGCAACGCCGCGUGAGUGAUGAAGGUCUUCGGAUCGUAAAACUCUGUUAUUAGGGAAGAACAAAUGUGUAAGUAACUAUGCACGUCUUGACGGUACCUAAUCAGAAAGCCACGGCUAACUACGUG
rnacentral:rRNA from 1 species